ensembl:snRNA Gm23435 predicted gene, 23435
AUCGUCAAUUUUUAUAGAUAGUUUAAGAUUCAUAAAAGUUUGUUUUCCCAGGGUGAGGCUUAUCCAUUGUACUCUGCAUGUGCUGACCCCUGUCAUUUCCCCAAAUGUAGGAAACUCAACUGUAAUGUGUGGUAGUGGAGGACUUCAUGUUCUCCC